rnacentral:sRNA from 1 species
AGUUAGGGUAGAACCAGCUUCUGGAGCUGUUCUGUAAUUCCCUCUUUUCCAGCAAGAAAACUUUUUAAGCUUCUUAUAUCUCUGAUGCAUACAUUCUUCCCCCAAUGGAUCAUUUUGUAAGCUAAAAUUUAAACACUAGAAUCAAGCAGUUCUAUAAUUUCUUUUCAAGCCUUAUUUCUACUUGAUGAAGUGGCUUUCAAGAGUAUAUUCAGAAGAGUAAUAGGAACACCGAAAAUCUCUCCCAGCACUUUAGAAAGGGGACCCUGACUGUGUUAAAGAAGAAGUGGGAGAACCCAGGGCUGGGAGCAGAGUCUCACACAGACUCUCUACGGAACAGCAGCACUGAGAUUAGGCACAGAGCAGACCAUCCUCCUGCUGAAGUGACAAGCCACGCUGCUUCUGGAGCCAAAGCUGACCAAGAAGAACAAAUCCACCCCAGAUCUAGACUCAGGUCACCUCCUGAAGCCCUCGUUCAGGGUCGAUAUCCCCACAUCAAGGACGGUGAGGAUCUUAAAGACCACUCAACAGAAAGUAAAAAAAUGG